UACAGAGGUCUCGAGCGUUGUUCGGAUUCAUUGGGCGUAAAGGGUGCGUAGGUGGCGCUGUAAGUCGGGUGUGAAAUCCUGAGGCUUAACCUCGGAACUGCAUUCGAUACUGCGGCGCUUGAGGACUGGAGAGGAGACUGGAAUUCAUGGUGUAGCAGUGAAAUGCGUAGAGAUCAUGAGGAAGACCAGUGGCGAAGGCGGGUCUCUGGACAGUUCCUGACGCUGAGGUGCGAAAGCGUGGGGAGCAAACAGG
rnacentral:rRNA from 1 species